rnacentral:rRNA from 1 species
GCAAGUCGUACGCGAAAGUUCCUUCGGGGACGAGUAGAGUGGCGCACGGGUGAGUAACACGUAGUUAACGUACCCUUUCGCUGGGGAUAACUCCGGGAAACCGGAGCUAAUACCGAAUGAGCUGUGAGAAACUGCGGUUUCUUAUGGCAAAGGCGCAAGCCGCGAAAGGAUCGGGCUGCGGUCCAUUAGCUUGUUGGUGGGGUAACGGCCUACCAAGGCGACGAUGGAUAGCUGGUCUGAGAGGAAGAUC